UAACAAAGACAACUCUCAACAACGGAUAUCUUGGCUCCCGCAACGAUGAAGAACGCAGCGAAAUGCGAUACGUAGUGUGAAUUGCAGAAUUCCGUGAACCAUCGAAUCUUUGAACGCAUAUUGCGCCCCACGGCCUCGGCCCAGGGCAUGUCUGCCUCAGCGUCUG
rnacentral:rRNA from 15 species